rnacentral:rRNA from 1 species
AGCGAACGCUGGCGGCAGGCUUAACACAUGCAAGUCGAACGGGCGUAGCAAUACGUCAGUGGCAGACGGGUGAGUAACGCGUGGGAACGUACCUUUUGGUUCGGAACAACCCAGGGAAACUUGGGCUAAAUACCGGAUAAGCCCUUACGGGGGAAAGAUUUAUCGCCGAAAGAUCGGCCCGCGUCUGAUUAGCUAGUUGGUGAGGUAACGGCUCACCAAGGCGACGAUCAGUAGCUGGUCUGAGAGGANGAUCAGCCACAUUGGGACUGAGACACGGCCCAAACUCCUACGGGAGGCAGCAGUGGGGAAUUGUUCGCAAUGGACGAAAGUCUGACGACGCAACGCCGCGUGGAGGAUGAAGACCUCGGUCGUAAC